ACAGCAUUAGCAAGAACACAGAACCAGGGACCCCGGGACAGCUUUCUCAGCUGAGAUGGGAUGGAGGAGAGGCUUUGUUUCACAAAACCCCUCGGGCAGUGCCAGUGCUCCUGCGGGGCUCUGAGGAACACUCAGCUGGAACAGCAGGGAUGAGCAGAGAUCCUGGGCUGGUGGAUGAGGUGGAUCAGCAGAGGAAUGAGCUGAGGUCCUGGGCCGGUGGCUGAGGUGGAUCAGCAGAGGAAUGAGCAGAGAUCCUGGGCUGGUGGAUGAGGUGGAUCAGCAGAGGAAUGAGCAGAGAUCCUGGGCUGGUGGCUGAGGUGGAUCAGCAGAGGAAUGAGCUGAGAUCCUGGGCCGGUGGAUGAGGUGGAUCAGCAGCUCCACGGCGGUGCCUGGCACUGCCACACGUCCCGGCAGGACAGGGGGUGCGAGGCCACCAACAAAGAGGGAAGAAGGAGAAGAAGCAGCAGCAGCUCCGUCUGGGUGAUGGUGAAUUCCCUUCUCUCUACCGCAGCAGCUCCGCGCCC